rnacentral:tRNA from 1 species
UCUUUACUAGAUUAAAAAAGAUCGUUUAUUUUGUAAAUAAAAAGUAAUAUUAAGAA